UUCAAAAUUGAAUCCAUAUCUCUCUAAAAUCCAGAACAACAGAUUUCGUAUCUCUCUGUUUUCUUCAAUCCCAUAUCACAAACCCUAACCCAAUCCCACUUCACAAACAACUUAUUAAUUUACAAUCAACAGGCCUCUAUCUUCUUCAAUCCCAUAUCACAAACCCUAGCCGCUGCAACUGCUCAUAACAACAAUGGCGGAUAAUACAGAGCAUGAUAACAUCGAUGACUCGGUUGUAGUAGUUGAGAAACAAGUGAAGCUGGAAGUUACAAGCGUCUGCUCUGAAGGUCGAGAAGAAUCUGAUGCAGGUUUAAAGUUUUUAAGAGAAAUUCAGAUAAGAACUGAAGAGGCUGUAUGCACUACAAAUCAUCCAUCGGAGAGAAGAAAUUCAACCGGAGAUCUGUUCAUACUAUCAUCAAAUUCACAUCAUAUUUGCAUCAAUUUUCAUUAGAUCUGUAUCAGAUCAUGGAGAUGGAGCGUGUGACGGAGUUUCCGAUGAGUAACGUUGAUAUCGGACCGAGAAAACGGCAGCGUAUUGGCUGGGAUGUUGUUCAUCCGGUUGCGAAGUCGGAAGCUGGGAAAAAACUUCCAUUCAUCCUUAUUGUGAACCUGCAGGGGAUUCACCAAGUUCAGCCGUACUGAUUAUUUGCAGUGGAAAUCUGAAAAUCGUAUCGUCUCUGAUGGUGUUAACGCCAAGAUGAAGCAACAGCCAUCUAGAUGAAACAGAAACCGAAAGAAACCGAGCAGUUGCAGAGGUUAAAGAAGCUAAAGAGUUGGCUAAUGUAGGAUUAUCGCCUCAAAAAGCCGAACAAAUGUUUUCAGAGCUCAAGAGUUUCUAUCAAAUUCGAAAAAAAAGAUCAAAUCAAGAGAUGAAGAGAUCAAUGAAUUGAGCAAGCGGCUUGAAUCCGCAAAGCUGUUCGAGGCUAAGUUAGCUGAUAGGGAUGCUUCUUUAGAGCAAUUCAAGAAGCAGAUUCGAGAACUCGAAAAUGAACCGGAGAAAACGAAUAAAUCGGAAUCACAUAUGUUGGAAUCAUUUUAAUUUUGUGUUUCCCUCUUCUCUAUUAACUACUUUUUGUCUAUUAUUUUGUUUUCUAUAUGUUUACUCCUUACUCUAAGUCCAUUUUUGUGUUACAGUCGGAAGGUGGGAAAAAACUUCCAUUCAUCCUUAUUGUGAACCUCCAGGGGAUUCACCAAGUUCAGCCGUACUGAUUAUUUGCAGUGGAAAUCUGAAAAUCGUAUCGUCUCUGAUGGUGUUAACGCCAAGACAGAUGAAGCAACAGCCAUCUAGAUGAAAUAGAAACCGAAAGAAACCGAGCAGUUGCAGAGGUUAAAGAAGCUAAAGAGUUGGCUAAUGCAGGAUUAUCGCCUCAAAAAGCCAAACAAAUGUUUUCAGAGCUCAAGAGUUUACAAGAGUUUCUAUCAAAUUCGAAAAAAGAGAUCAAAUCAAGAGAUGAAGAGAUCAAUGAAUUGAGCCAGCGACUUGAAUCCGCAAAGUUGUUCGAGGCUAAGUUAGUUGAUAGGGAUGCUUCUUUAGAGCAGUUCAAGAAGCAGAUUCGAGAACUCGAAAAUGAAUCGUAGAAAACGAAUAAAUCGGAAUCACAUAUGCUGGAAUCAUUGAUGCUGCAAACCCGACAAUUCGAGGAAACUAAAAUGGACUUAGAAGAAUCAAAGCUUGAUGUCGUGACCCUGCAAGAAAAGCUCAAUAUCCUUCAAAACCGUGGUAAAAACGGGUUCAAUCAAACGAGUAAUCUGGAUUCAUCUUCGAAUGUAGCAGCCACUUACGCUUUAAUAAUUAAUUUGAAUAUUAUAGUGCUUUGAAGAAUGUGCUCCUCCCAAUGACAAAGAUUCAACAUCUGCUACUCCAAAGGUCUGCCAAAGCCAAAGUCUGCCAAAAGUGAACAUCUGCUUGAAGAUAAAAUCUGCUAAUCCAAAGGUCUACCAAAGUGAUCCUCUACUGAUGAAGACAAAUUCUGAAGAAGCAAAAGUCUACUAUGGCUCAACAGAUGUUAAAGACCAACAGAUGAUAUUUAACAGAUGCUGCUCAACAGAGGUUAACAAUGUAACAGUGCCUAGGCUAAUACCAGAUGUUAGGAGUUUAUUAGGUUGUUUGAUCGUAGUUAAUGUUUGUUGAAAGUCAAGUUGUAUUGCAUGUAUCAAAGUUUAAUAAGCACAUUUCCAACACAUAUGAACAUUCGGGAAAGUAAUUCCCUUCUAAAAAAUAUAUAGUGAUUCGUUGUUUAAUGUAUUAUGCAUGGUUUUCUAA